rfam:Triticum aestivum genome assembly, contig: Triticum_aestivum_CS42_TGACv1_scaffold_592015_7BS
CAACUACUCCCUCUGUCCCAAAUUUCUUGUCUUAGCUUUGUCUAGAUACGGAUGUAUCUAAUACUAAAAUGUGACUUGAUACAUCCGUAUCUAGACAAAUCUAAGACAAGAAUUUUGGGACGGAGGGAGUACUUU